rnacentral:lncRNA from 1 species
CCCACGGGGAUGAUCCCGAAUCCACUGCCCAGAACCUUCAGCUUGCGGAUGGCGCGCAGGAGAUCGUCCCUGCACGGACAGACGGACACACGGACACACUGACGGACUGACAGACUGACAGCCCAGAUCUGGACAGACUGACAGACACCCCAGAUCCGCUGCCCAGCACCUUCACCCACAGCAGAUCAUCCCUGGGACGGACAGACAGACAGACAGACGGACAGACAGACAGACUCCCAGGCCAUUCCAGAGCCCAGGAAUGGCCCCCAAAAUACAGGAAAAACCAUGUGGGGGAAAAACAUCCUGGAUUUGGAUUUGGAGGACAAAAAUUCUCCUGGGGUUGGAUUGUGGGGAAAAAUCCUUCCAGGGAAAAAAAAAAAUCUUCCUGGCUUGGAUUUGUAUGGAAAAAUCAUCCUGGGGCUGAAUUCAUAGGGGAAAAAGAUGUUGGAAAAAUCAUCCUGGGGUUAGAUUUGGGGGGAGAAAAUAAUCCAAUUAUAAAUAUAAUAAUCCUGGGGUUUCUUUUAGGAAAAAAAUCCAGGGGUUUAUUUUAGGAAAAAUCAUCCUGGGGUUUCUUUUAGGAAAUAAUUCUGGGGUUUAUUUUAGGAAAUAAUCCUGGAGUUUAUUUUAGGAAAUAAUCCUGGGGUUUCUUUUAGGAAAUAAUCCAGGGAUUUAUUUUAGGAAAAAAUCAUCCUGGGGUUUCUUUUAGGAAAAAUUCCAGGGAUUUCUUUUAGGAAAUAAUCCUGGGGUUUAUUUUAGGAAAUAAUCCCGGGGUUUUUUUAGGAAAAAUCAUCCUGGGGUUUAUUUUAGGAAAAAAUCCUGGGGUUUCUUUUAGGAAAAAUCAUCCUGGGGUUUCUUUUAGGAAAAAAUCCUGGGGUUUAUUUUAGGAAAUAAUCCUGGGGUUUCUUUUAGGAAAAAUAAUCCAGGGGUUUAUUUUAGGAAAAAAUCCUGGGGUUUCUUUUGGGAAAAAUAAUCCUGGGGUUUCUUUUAGGAAAAAUAAUCCUGGGGUUUCUUUUAGGAAAUAAUUCUGGGGUUUAUUUUAGGAAAUAAUCCUGGGGUUUCUUUUAGGAAAAAUAAUCCUGGGGUUUCUUUUAGGAAAAAAAUCCUGGGAUUUCUUUUAGGAAAUAAUCCCUGGGUCUCUUUUAGGAAAAAAUCCCGGGGUUUCUUUUAGGAAAAAAUCCUGGGGUUUAUUUUAGGAAAAAAAUCCAGGUUGGAUUUGUGAGGAAAAAUCCUUUCAGGUGUUGGAUUUUUAGGGAAAAGCCACCCUGGGGUUGGAUUUUAGGGGGAAUCAUCCCGGGCAGGAGCAGCAGCAGAGCUGGGCUGGAACAGCUGGAGCUGCACCCCUGGGGUUCCUGAGGGGUUUUGGGGAUUCCUGAGGGAUUUUUGGGGGAUUUUGGGGGAUUUUUGGGGAUUCCCAGGCACUCAC